UUGAAACCCAUUUCUCUCUCUUCUUCCUCAUUUUCCUUCUUUUCAUCAACUCUCUCUGUCUUCUCUCUCUUUCCCCUCAAACCCUAUGUCCGCCGCCGCCCCUUUCUCUCCCGUAUCUACGACUACUACCAACGUAAAAACCAUUUUCGUACGCCUGCUCAUUCAACGUAUAUCACCACUUUAAAUUUGACAAAUUCUAACAAUUUAUUUACAUGUUUUGUGUUUUAUUCUGAAUAAUAUUUGUGGGUUGUGUUCUAAGUGUUUAUUCAAAUGAAAUCGGAUCAAAGUUUAUCUCUUUUUCAUAUAUGUUAUUUUCUUUAUUUUUCUCAUCAUAGUGGUUUCGGCGACGAUCUACAAUGGCUUCUCCUUUUUCUUUUUUGUUUUUGUUUUCCAAUGGCUGUUGUUUGGAUUUUUUAAUUUUGAAUUUGACUGGAUAUGUUUUGUGUGAGGAGUUAUUAGGUAUGGUAGAAAUGAUUUUCAGGUCAAAUGGUGUUGGUAAUUAUUUGUAGUUUUUAACAUAUUUUGAUGCAUUUCAUGUUUAGUUAUUUUCAGAUCUGGCAAUAUAUGAUACCUCAGAGAUGAAACGCAUUCGGCUGGUGUUGUUUGUUUGAUAAAACUCGAGACUUCUGUGACUGUUGCAGGGUGUAAUGGUGAUUCUGGGUAUUCAACUGAAUGCGGUGUCUGCCAUGGAAAUUACUUUAGCUUGUGGAAAUUACUUUAGUCCCCCUAUUAAAAAAAUGCAUGUUUACUUUUGCUGGUGUUUGAGGUAAUUUUAUACAACUUCAACUAAUUCUUGUAAUUUCUAAUUUAUUUCCAUUCAUUUCUAAACUAAAACUAUGUCAUCUCUUGCUCUAACUUUUGCUUAUGUACUUGUGGGAAUUAAUUAGACUUGGUACUGUAAGAGAUAAAUGUGUGAAAUUUAUUUUGCCAUUAGAGGAGCUUCUAAUAAUUGUACAGAAAAUUAGCUUUCCUUUGGAUGCAAUAAACAAAGAAAUAAGUCAAAAUUAUGUUGUUUAAACAGAGUUAGCAUGAAGAAUCUAGAAGUAUAAAGAAAAAUGCAUUUAAUUAUAAUGAAUUGUUGAGUUUUGAAUGAUAAAACCAAGUUAUUUAGAUGUGUAUAAUCAUAUUUUGUUCUUAAUUGGACUUUACACAACCAAAAGAUACUUGGAAGAUGUUUUUGCCCUUAGACAGGGCAUUCCUUUUCGGCGCAUCUGCCGUGGUGUUGGGAGGACAACCCAAGCUCAGUCAUUCCAAUGGGCAAGGAUGCUGGUCUACGAAGUUUGCUAAAUUUAUUUUUGAUUUGCUUAAGAAUGCUAAGAGCAAUGGGAGCAAUACUAAAGUAUGUCUUUUGUAUUUUAAGUUUGAUAUUGACUUUCAUAUUGUAGUUUGAUAUUUUUAACCAACUUUUAAUCACAUUGUUCUAUUAAUUGUCUACUUCCAAUUAAAAGGUUUGGAUGUGGAUGUACUCUUUGUUUCUCAUAUGCAGGUCAAUCAAGCUCGAAUGCAAAGACGUCGUACUUACAGGGCUCAUGGAAGCACUCUUUGUUUCUCAUAUCCAAAUGACAUCUAUGUCCUCGGGGAUGUUGUGUUUGAGAGGGUGUUUAAUGUUGUAUAUUCAGCCUUGCCGGUGUAUUUGAUUUUGCCAGGUGUUGCUGUAUUGUUGCAGUUUCUGGUUUCUUUUUGUUGAUUGUUAGCAUUUUAAAACAGUUUGUUUGGUUCUUUGACAUGUCUUAGGUCUGAGUUUAUAUAUUUUCUGUUGUUUUAAAAAAAUGAUUCAUACUGUUAGAAGUCAUAUGGUUAUAUAAAUAUAUCAUAAACCAUUUGUUUGUUUAUUAUAUAUGGUUAUAUAAAUAUAUCAUACUGUUAGAAUGUCAA